rnacentral:rRNA from 1 species
CCUACGGGUGACAGCAGUGGGGGAUAUUGCACAAUGGGGGGAACCCUGAUGCAGCGACGCCGCGUGGGUGAAGAAGUAUUUCGGUAUGUAAAGCUCUAUCAGCAGGGAAGAAAAUGACAGUACCUGACCAAGAAGCCCCGGCUAACUACGUGCCAGCAGCCGCGGUAAUACGUAGGGGGCAAGCGUUAUCCGGAUUUACUGGGUGUAAAGGGAGCGUAGACGGUUAUGCAAGUCUGGAGUGAAAGCCCGUGGCCCAACCCCGGGACUGCUUUGGAAACUGUGUAGCUGGAGUGCAGGAGGGGCAGGCGGAAUUCCUGGUGUAGCGGUGAAAUGCGUAGAUAUUAGGAGGAACACCGGCGGCGAAGGCGGCCUACUGGACUGAAACUGACGUUGAGGCUCGAAAGCGUGGGGAGCAAACAGGAUUAGAUACCCCUGUAGUC